CUACGGGCGGCAGCAGUGGGGAAUAUUGGACAAUGGGGGAAACCCUGAUCCAGCAAUGCCGCGUGUGUGAAGAAGGCCUGCGGGUUGUAAAGCACUUUCGGUUGGGAGGACUGCUUCUAGCACUAAUAUUGUUGGAAGUUGACGUUACCUUCAGAAGAAGCACCGGCUAGCUCCGUGCCAGCAGCCGCGGUAAAACGGAGGGUGCAAGCGUUAAUCGGAAUUACUGGGCGUAAAGCGCGCGUAGGCGGCUAGAUCAGUCGGGUGUGAAAGCCCCGGGCUUAACCUGGGAACUGCAUCCGAUACUGUCUAGCUUGAGUACAGGAGGGGAGAGUGGAAUUCCACAUGUAGCGGUGAAAUGCGUAGAUAUGUGGAGGAACACCAAUGGCGAAGGCAGCUCUCUGGCCUGAUACUGACGCUGAGGUGCGAAAGCGUGGGGAGCAAACAGGAUUAGAUACCCGCGUAGUC
rnacentral:rRNA from 1 species